GCUGUUUGUUAAUAACUGGAAUGUGUUCUGGGAGCGUCCUUGGUUGUUUCGUCCUGAUGGCCUGCACCCCAGCAGCCUCGGAGCGGAACCGUUGUCAGACAACAUCUCCAAGACGCUACACACCAAGUGACUGCCUACCAUACUAGAGAUCCUGAUCCUUUCUGCUCUCCGGACCCGCCCGAUCCGUUUCGGAUGUCCUACCUCUGGAUGGAGCUCUCAUCUACUCCAAUUCCAGAUUGCUGGGACUACGGCUGCUUCUAAGGCCAAACAGACUUCAUAUAAAUCCAUAAUGAACUUUUUCACACUAUCCGUCGUUACCCAGAUGAGGACGGGUUCCCUUCUGAGUCGGGUUCCUCUCAAGGUUUCUUCCUCUUAAAACAUCUCAGGGAGUUUUUCCUCACCACCGUCACCACCGGCUCGCUCAAUAGGGAUAAAUUCGUACUCUUAAUAUCUGUAUACUGUGUUUAUAUAUUUCUGUAAAGCUGCUUUGAGACAAUGUCUAUUGUAAAAACGCUAUACAAAUAAAAUGUAAUUGAUUUAA